AGUCGAACGGUAGCACAGGGGAGCUUGCUCUCCGGGUGACGAGUGGCGGACGGGUGAGUAAUGUCUGGGGAUCUGCCCGAUGGAGGGGGAUAACUACUGGAAACGGUAGCUAAUACCGCAUAACCUCGAAAGAGCAAAGUGGGGGACCUUCGGGCCUCACACCAUCGGAUGAACCCAGAUGGGAUUAGCUAGUAGGUGGGGUAACGGCUCACCUAGGCGACGAUCCCUAGCUGGUCUGAGAGGAUGACCAGCCACACUGGAACUGAGACACGGUCCAGACUCCUACGGGAGACAGCAGUGGGGAAUAUUGCACAAUGGGCGCAAGCCUGAUGCAGCCAUGCCGCGUGUAUGAAGAAGGCCUUCGGGUUGUAAAGUACUUUCAGCGGGGAGGAAGGGAUGAAGGUUAAUAACCUUCGUCAUUGACGUUACCCGCAGAAGAAGCACCGGCUAACUCCGUGCCAGCAGCCGGGGUAAUACGGAGGGUGCAAGCGUUAAUCGGAAUUACUGGGCGUAAAGCGCACGCAGGCGGUUUGUUAAGUCAGAUGUGAAAUCCCCGGGCUCAACCUGGGAACUGCAUUUGAAACUGGCAAGCUUGAGUCUCGUAGAGGGGGGUAGAAUUCCAGGUGUAGCGGUGAAAUGCGUAGAGAUCUGGAGGAAUACCGGUGGCGAAGCGGCCCCCUGGACGAAGACUGACGCUCAGGUGCGAAAGCGUGGGGAGCAAACAGGAUUAGAUACCCUGGUAGUCCACGCCGUAAACGAUGUCGACUUGGAGGUUGUGCCCUUGAG
rnacentral:rRNA from 1 species